rnacentral:rRNA from 1 species
UACGUAGGGUCCGAGCGUUGUCCGGAAUUACUGGGCGUAAAGAGCUCGUAGGUGGUUUGUCGCGUUGUUCGUGAAAACGUCAACAGCUCAACUGCGGGUCUGGCAGGCCGAUACGGGCAGGCUAGAGUUCGGUAGGGGAGACUGGAAUCCUGGUGUAGCGGUGAAAUGCGCGGAUAAUCCAGGAGGAACACCGGUGGCGAAGGCGGG